rnacentral:rRNA from 1 species
CGUACGUCCGGACGUACCGAACGGAACGGAACGGACCGUCGGCGGGGCCGGGUCGGGAGGUUAAGGUUACGACUGUGAACUACGGACGGUAGGAGGCUUUAUCGUAAGAUAGAGUUUGAGAGUGGCGAACGGGUGAGUAACACGUAGGAAUCUACCCUUAAGACGGGGACAACCCAGGGAAACUUGGGCUAAUACCGGAUGAGAGUGCGAGAGAUUGCAUUUAAAAGGAUGGCGAAAGUUGUCGCUUAGGGAUGAGCCUGCGGUCUAUUAGUUAGUUGGUGAGGUAAGAGCUCACCAAGGCGAUGAUAGAUAGGCGGCCUUAACGGGUGGUCGCCCACACUGGGAUUGAGAUACGGCCCAGACUCCUACGGGAGGCAGCAGUCGAGAAUAGUCUACAAUGGCCGGAAGGCUGAUAGUGCGACGCCGCGUGAACGAGGGAGCCCUUCGGGGUGUAAAGUUCUUUUCUAUACGAGCAGUGCUAUAUAUAUGGAUAGUAUAUAUAGAGGGAUAGUAGUAUAGGAAUAAGCAACGGCUAACUCCGUG